UACGGGGGGAGCAAGCGUUGUUCGGAUUUACUGGGCGUAAAGGGCGCGUAGGCGGUCAGCACAAGUCAGUUGUGAAAUCUCCGGGCUUAACUCGGAAAGGUCAACUGAUACUGUGCGACUAGAGUGCAGAAGGGGCAACUGGAAUUCUCGGUGUAGCGGUGAAAUGCGCAGAUAUCAGGAAGAACACCCGUGGCGAAGGCGGCUCUCUGGGACGGUACUGACGCUGAGACGCGAAAAGCGUGGGGGAGCGAAACAGG
rnacentral:rRNA from 1 species